AACAUGGCAGAGAACCGAGUCAGGGACUGGACCCGGGUCAGGGACAUGUACGAGGGAGUUAAUCUAGACGAAAUGUGCAAAAAACAAAAAAAAGCACACAGAGACAAAACUCUUUAUAAUAAUCCAGAUGUUUUAUUCAGAAUCUAUCAACAGGGAAGACUCCAUGUGCUGCUCUUCAUACCAACUGACACUGAAGAGUGGAAGAAUGUGAUUCAGGACAGAAGCAGGGCUACUGACCUUUCUGUUCAGCUGACGGAGAGACGUGCUAUAAGGGGUCAUUUACCAAUCAUUAGCAUGUCUGGUCCUGUGAGUAACCUCGAAUAUAUCUGUGAGUCUUUUGAUCAGCUCUAUAAUCAGGUGCAGGAAAACAUUCAGGACAGAGCAGCACCACAGAGGAACUAUGUGGCUGAGAUUGAGGAACUCAAUGUGAGAAUCGGGAAGCUAUAAGAGGAAAUCAAGAUCCUUAAAAGAAAAUCGGUGCACACCUGAGGCCUGUGUAUCAAUGUUCCACUUUCCUCACUGCAGUGGAAGCAAAUAAAGUUCAAAACCACCGGCUUUCAUUUAGUGCUGAGCUUCACAAAGAAGGAAUGAAUUUCAAUUCAUCUAAGGCUUAGGAAUAGAUUAAAACUUGCUCAUGUGUUUUAUUUAUUUUGUUUUGUUUAUUUAUCUGUUUGUUCGUUUGUUUUUAGUUUGGUUUGAUUUAUUGAUUUUAUUGUAUUCGAUUUUAAAUGUUUAUUUGUCUCAUACACAACCUUGCACAGUACGACAUGCAGAUAAAUGUUGUCCUAAAAGAAGAAUAAAACUGCUACAAUAAAAGUAGAUGUUGGAUUAUCUGUACAAAUAAUAAGAAUAAAAUAUAAAAAAUAUAAAUAUAUUUAUAUGAAUAUGGUGAAGUGAGCAAACAGUAUGACAAUGGGAAAUAAAGUUCAGAUGUUUACUAUAUUAUUUUGCAUAUAAUAGCCAUGUAAUAACAUUUACUGUGCGAUUUAAUAAACAUUUAAUAAAGUGAUUAUUAAAACA